rnacentral:lncRNA from 1 species
GGGAUGCUCGAUAUAAUUAUGUAUAGUCAAUAGGAUUUUAGUUUAUUUGUUCAUUCUUAAUUUUUAAUUAUAAAUAAGUACGAUUUUAAUUAAACUUUGAUAUUCUUAAUUUUUCAUGUACUAAUCUUUGUACAAAAUGUAGUAGUAUUAAUAUGAUUUGUUUGAUGUCCUCAAGGAGGCACCAAGCGGUGCAAACUCCUAUCUACGAACAGUGAGGUCUAAGGUUCAAACCCCGCCGCUUCCCCUCCCUGCAGUUAAAAUAAUAAAUAUGAUUUGUUUGAUUUUUUCACAUGUGUAAUUUAAAUAUUCAUGUGUUUCUUUUAUCUAAAUUAUUCUCAGAUACGUGCUCGUUCACUGACAUUCACUUCUUCAAGAGUUACAUCUCCACGGGCGUAGUGAGCAUUAUCUUGCACUUGAGUAAGUCUUCGUAACAUGCAUUUUCUCUCUUACGCGUUGAAAUCACGAUAAAUUAAAAUGCAGUAUUAGUUUUUAGGGUCCACGUUAAAAUGUAUAAACAACUUGAGUUUGCCUAUGAAACAUCAAUUUUUCAAACACACCAACAAAUUAUGCCAUAGAUCAUAUACUAACACGCUAUCAUAAAUAUAGAACUAUAGCUCUGGAGAAUCUUAGGUAUACUAUCAUGUAGCCCAGCUCAAUACAGUAGCUUGACCUUUUCUGAGUCUGAAGUAAUUUGACAGUAAUUGAACAAAUAAUUGAUCUCUCCACCUGGAUAAUCAUCAAAUUCAAUAUUGGUAACUGAAAUUGGGUUUAAGUAAAUAGUAUAGCUACAAGAACUCUAUAAGUGACGUUGGAAAUGAACUACAAGGUCGUA